rnacentral:rRNA from 1 species
GAUGAACGCUGGCGGCGUGCCUAAUACAUGCAAGUCGAGCGAACAGAUGAGGAGCUUGCUCCUCUGACGUUAGCGGCGGACGGGUGAGUAACACGUGGAUAACCUACCUAUAAGACUGGGAUAACUUCGGGAAACCGGAGCUAAUACCGGAUAAUAUAUUGAACCGCAUGGUUCAAUAGUGAAAGACGGUUUUGCUGUCACUUAUAGAUGGAUCCGCGCCGCAUUAGCUAGUUGGUAAGGUAACGGCUUACCAAGGCAACGAUGCGUAGCCGACCUGAGAGGGUGAUCGGCCAAACUGGAACUGAGACACGGUCCAGACUCCUAAGGGAGGCAGCAGUAGGGAAUCUUCCGCAAUGGGCGAAAGCCUGACGGAGCAACGCCGCGUGAGUGAUGAAGGUCUUCGGAUCGUAAAACUCUGUUAUUAGGGAAGAACAAAUGUGUAAGUAACUAUGCACGUCUUGACGGUACCUAAUCAGAAAGCCACGGCUAACUACGUG